rnacentral:misc_RNA from 1 species
GAUGAAGAACGUAGCGAAAUGCGAUAAGUAAUGUGAAUUGCAGAAUUCAGUGAAUCAUCGAAUCUUUGAACGCACAUUGCGCCCGCCAGUAUUCUGGCGGGCAUGCCUGUUCGAGCGUCAUUACAACCCUCAGGCCCCCGGGCCUGGCGUUGGGGAUCGGCGGAGCCCCCCGUGGGCACACGCCGUCCCCCAAAUGCAGUGGCGGUCCCGCCGCAGCUUCCAUCGCGUAGUAGCUAACACCUCGCGACUGGAGAGCGGCGCGGCCACGCCGUAAAACACCCAACUCUUCUGAAGUUGACCUCGAAUUAGGUAGGAAUACCCGCUGAACUUAAGCAUAUCAAUAAGCGGAGGA